AUUGAACGCUGGCAGCAUGCUUUACACAUGCAAGUCGAACGGUAACAGGUUAAGCUGACGAGUGGCGAACGGGUGAGUAAUGCAUCGGAACGUGCCCGGUCGUGGGGGAUAACGCAGCGAAAGCUGCGCUAAUACCGCAUACGAUCUGAGGAUGAAAGCGGGGGACCGUAAGGCCUCGCGCGAUCGGAGCGGCCGAUGUCAGAGUAGGUAGUUGGUGGGGUAAAGGCUCACCAAGCCAACGAUCUGUAGCUGGUCUGAGAGGACGACCAGCCACACGGGGACUGAGAAACGGCCCAGACUCCUACGGGAGUCAGCAGUGGGGAAUUUUGGACAAUGGGCGAAAGCCUGAUCCAGCAAUGCCACGUGCAGGAAGAAGGCCUUCGGGUUGUAAACUGCUUUUGUACGGAGCGAAAAGGUCUCCUCUAAUACAGGGGGCUCAUGACGGUACCGUAAGAAUAAGCACCGGCUAACUACGUGCCAGCCGCCGCGGUAA
rnacentral:rRNA from 1 species